AUCCCCCUGCUUCACCGAAACCUUGCGUACCACGCGAGGCACUUUAUAGGUGAAGUGGGGGGAU
rnacentral:sRNA from 12 species